AGUGAACGCUGGCGGCGUGCUUAACACAUGCAAGUCGAACGAGAACGGAAUAUAGCUUGCUAUAUUUGUCAACUAAGUGGCGCACGGGUGAGUAAUGUAUAGAUAACCUGCCCUUAAGAAAGGAAUAACAGUUGGAAACGACUGCUAAUGCCCUAUAUGCCUUUAAUACAUAAGUAUGCAAGGGAAACGCUUUAGUGCUUAAGGAUGGGUCUGUAUGGUAUCAGCUUGUUGGUGAGGUAAUGGCUCACCAAGGCUAUGACGCCUAACUGGUUUGAGAGGAAGAUCAGUAACAAUGGAACUGGGACACGGGUCCAGAUCCUACGGGGGGGAGCAGUGGGGAAUAUUGCACCAUAGACGGAAGUCUGAUGCCGCAACGCCGCGUGGAGGAUGACACAUUUCGGUGCGUAAACUCCUUUUAUAUAGGAAGAUAAUGACGGUACUAUAUGAAUAAGCACCGGCUAACUCCGUGCCAGCCGCCGCAGUAA
rnacentral:rRNA from 1 species